CCGAAGUUUCUCUCAGGAUAGCUGGGACGGGCGCUGUUUCCGAACGGCUUGUGAUCCCACAGUGAGGCGCAUCAGCAAUGGAGUUUCGUCCGGUAAAGCGAAUGACUAGAGGCACGCGGGGGUGCAAGGCCCUCGCACUAUUCUCAAACUUUAAAUGGGCGAGAACCCCGGCAUUCGUGCUCGAUGCUCGGGGCGUCCAACGAGGCCAGCACUAAUGCGCUCCCUGUGCCAACGGACUCUAGACUCUCCUUCAUGAUUGCUCUUGUGCAUGAGUGUGAGUGGGACUCAGGUCUAGUACGAAUCAUCCCGCUCCUCAGUGGGUCAUUUCUGGUAAGCAGGACUGAUAAUGAGGGAUGAACCUAACGUUGUGCUAAGGGGCCUAAACGAUAGCUAUCUCUUGAUACCAUUGGAAGGGUGCUGCUGGCUGAAGACAGCAGGACGGUGGUCAUGGAAGUCGACACCCGCUAAGUAGUGUGUAACAACUAAUCCUGCCGAAGCGAGCAACCCUGAAAAUGGAUGGCACUCAAGCUCUCUCCCGAUGCACAACCGUCGGUGGCAAUAAAGGCUUCAGAAUGAACUGUCAGAAAUCUAAGUCUCAAAGCCCCGACGAGUAGGGUGGCGUGCCGGUAAGCACUGAAGGCUAAGACGUGAGUCUGGCUGGAGCUGCCGGUAAUGCAGAUCUUGGUGGUAGUAGCAAGUACUCUGGUGAACAACCUGGAGCUGUGAGGCUUGGACAAGGGUUCCAUGUCAACAGUGAUUGAACAUGGCUGAGUCGUACCUAAGCCAACUGUGAAAGCAGUGACAUCCCGUCAAGGGCAUUGCAGUCGUAGUACUCUGAGACGAUGUUGAACAAGGAUGAGCACCACACAAACCCGCAAAGACUCAGACUGACUCUCUAAAAUGCAAAUCUGCUUGAACACCAGAUUGCAUAUAUAUGUGUGUCGAGAUGAUAGUGCGAACAAGAUCGGUUUGGUGGUUGAGCGAAAGCAUGAAAUAUGAUCUCUGUGUGUUAAUGCGUGUGUGAGUACUCACGAGUGUUCUCGUGUACAGCAACCAAUCACAUAUCACGUCACACAGAGUUGUGCUAGUAGUUUCUCCUCUCUCUCCAUAUAUCUUUCCAUGAGCAUUAAUAUCACUCGAAGGGCAACACACAAGGAAUCACGGCUAUUAAGUGUACCAGGCAGGCUCAAAAUCCUAACGUGUGUGGUGCGACCCCUGAAGCUCUCGCUCUAAACUCUCACCUCUGCUCUAAGUUCGAGAUUGGAUUUAAUGUCUGGCGAAAGGGAACGGGGACUUUGUUCCCUGACCGGUCCCGGCACCCUCGAUGGCUUCCGCCUAUCACCGGUCGGAGUAAUCCGAACCAGGCCACAGCCGCCGGCAGCCGCCCAAGGAAGAGUUUUCUUUUCUGCUUAACGCACGAGCACAUCCCUGGAAGCAGUUCGGCUGGCGACAGGGUGUGCCGUUGCGGCAGAGCGCCACGACUGUCGUGUGCGUCUUGGUGUUUCUGCUGGUCCGUGAAAACGUGGUCGAGGGGAUAAGCAAAGAAUUUGUUUUGAACAACGUAGACUCUACGCACACACUGUGUGUGUGUGUGGGGCAUCUGCUAAAACGCCCGACAAGUUCGGGACUGACCGUACCCUAUAUCCGCAUCCGGUAUCCAAGGUUCGUAGCCUCUGCAGUCUCAGACACAUGUAGGUAAGGGAAGUCGGCAAACUCGAUCCGUAACUUCGGGAUAAGGAUUGGCUCUGAGGGCUGAGCUGGGCCGGGCCUGCUUGCAACGCAGUACCUAUAGUGACCGGAGUUUUAGGAGUGUAUGGGACUCAAGUAAGGUCUCCUUCACGGGGGGCACGAACGGGUUUUCUGCUCCGCUCCAACCACGAACGGCUGUGACGGCAGGUCUCUGGUUAGGUGCACAUCCAAAUGUUGGCCUCCAGCAUGUCUGGUUGGCGGCAGUGCAUUCCGACUGACGGCUCCAGCGACUAGCGGCUAACUCAGAACUGUCAUGGACCAAGGGAAUCCGACUGUCUAAUUAAAACAAAGCGUCGUGACGGCCCCUGUUGGGUGUUGACGCGACGUGAUUUCUGCCCAGUGCUCUGAAUGUCAAAGUGAAGAAAUUCACCGAAGCGCGGGUUAACGGCGGGUGUAACUAUGACUCUCUUAAGGUAGCCAAAUGCCUCGUCAUCUAAUUAGUGACGCGCAUGAAUGGAUUAACGAGAUUCCCACUGUCCCUAUCUACCGUCUGGUGAACCAACAGGCAAGGGAACGGACUUGCAUGAACACAGCGGGGAAAGAAGACCCUGUUGAGCUUGACUCUAGUCUGAAUCUGUACGGAGACAUCGGAGGUGCAGCAUAAGUGGGAGGCCUGGUUGCUUCGGCGGCCACCGAACCGUGAGAUACCACUACUCCCUUCGUCUCCGUACUCCACUCGGUUAUCGGGAGAAAUUACAAAGUGAAUGACGGCGUCUGGAUGCUUCGUGGCUGAGUGUGGUGCGGUGUGUCUCUGCUCUCUCUCUUGUUCUGUGCGUACUUGUGCGUGUGGGGCGGGGGGUUUGUGGGGGCCCCGUGUUCUCUCUUUCACACUAAAGGAGCUCCUGCCUCAUCCAGCUGAGGACAGAUUCAGGUGGGGAGUUUGACUGGGGCGGUACAUCUGUCAAACGAUAACGCAGGUGUCCUAAGGCCAGCUCAACGAGAUCAGAAAUCUCGUGUAGAGCAUAAGGGCCUAUGCUGGCUUGAUCCAGACUUUCAGUAUGAGUACGGACGGUGAAAGCCAGGCCUAUCGAUCCUUUUGACGUUACUGAGUUUAUAGCAAGAGGUAUCAGAAAAGUUACCACAGGGAUAACUGGCUUGUGGCGGCCAAGCGUCCUUAGCGACGUCGCUUUUUGAUCCUUCGAUGUCGGCUCUUCCUAUCAUUGAGUUGCAACCGUCGCAAAGCGUCGGAUUGUUCACCCAUAGCAGGGAACGUGAGCUGGGUUUAGACCGUCGCGAGACAGGUUAGUUUUACCCUCCUGUGGUCUGGAGUCUGUACCAAAGCGUACAGGCUCGUCGUGUCGCUAUGGAAGUUGUGGCCAGUACGAGAGGAACGUCACAACCGAACCUCUGGUCCCGGACUCGGCCGAGAGGCCGGUGGUCCCAGGCUACGUUCGUACAAGUAAGGCCGAACGCCUCUUAAGCCUGAAACCAUUCCAGAACAUGAGCGACGCUGUCAGCAGUUGACCCCUCCGCUACGUGUUCUGCACGUGUGUGGCGUUUGGUGCUAGCACCUCAGGUCCCAUGGCCUGUACAGGUGUAAGCCCGGCAGGUACAAGACAGAGCCCUAGUACA
rnacentral:rRNA from 1 species